AGAGUUUGAUCCUGGCUCAGAAUGAACGCUGGCGGCGUGCUUAACACAUGCAAGUCGUACGAGAACUCUUUAGCUUGCUAAAGAUAGUAAAGUGGCGCACGGGUGAGUAACGCGUGGGCAAUCUACCUCCGAAUCGGGGAGAACCCGCCGAAAGGCGAGCUAAUACCGGAUAAUAUCUAUAGAACUUCGGUUUUAAAGAUCAAAGGUGGUCUCUACAUGUAAGCUACUGUUUGGAGAUGAGCCCGCGUACCAUUAGCUUGUUGGUAGGGUAAUGGCCUACCAAGGCUUCGAUGGUUAGCUGGUCUGAGAGGAUGAUCAGCCACACUGGAACUGACACACGGUCCAGACUCCUACGGGAGGCAGCAGUGAGGAAUUUUGCGCAAUGGGGGAAACCCUGACCCAGCAACGCCGCGUGAGUGAUGAAGGCUUUCGGGUCGUAAAGCUCUGNCAAGUGGGAAGAAUAUCUCGACC
rnacentral:rRNA from 1 species